rnacentral:misc_RNA from 1 species
AUGAAAUGGAAUCUUCAGAUGAGGAAAACACAUUUCGUAAGCAACAGAAAAGAAAGCUUGACGCUGAAAAGCUACUAACCAUGAAAGUUAAAGGAUUUCUUUCCCUAUUCCUCAUUAUUCUAAUGGUCUCAGCGGUUCACAGUGAAGAGGAUUUGGGUCCUGUUUACCGGAGUAGUUUUCCGGCAGGUUUUAUAUUUGGGACUGCAUCAUCUGCUUACCAGUAUGAAGGUGCAGCA